UUGGUUCAGAGUAAGAAAAAGAAAAGCUACAGUAGCUGUUUCGUUUUUAUUCAUAAACAAAAGAACAUACUUUGGUGUUUAUUAAACUUUGUUCAAGUUCAAAGUAGAAGGUGCAAGAGAUGCUCAUCUUCCUUCCGUCCGGCAGAGAUCGUUGGUGGUUAAAGACUAAAGCUACAGCAAGUUUUUUUUCUUCCUUCCCGUCACGGCAGAAAACGGUGGUGAUAGAAGAUAAAGCUUCAAGAGGAAAUUGGUUUGUGGUGUUUGCUGCUCCAGGAGAUUUGGAUUAGCGAGCUAAGGGACUUCCAUCGCCUUCAACCAGAACAAUUCAUGUUCUAAAUCUAAGGUCUCGUCAGUAGGUAUUCCGGACAGUGGGAUCUCACAUAUUACCACUAGUUCACCUUUGAAAAGCCAUGGUUUGAAUUCUUUGAUCUUAUGAAAAUCGGAUUCGUUGUUGCAUUUGAGUAUGAAGACAUUCUUAUACUUCUUGUGUUUGUAUGGGGAUAUCAUCAUUGAUCUUGUUAAUCUCCAGUUUGCUCUCACAAAAUUGAUGUACUCCCACUGCAACACAAUCCUAUUCACACAUAUUCUACUUAGCAUCGUCAAACUCCAAUCGAUUUCAUCCUUUGCUAGGAUUUCCUUCUUUAUAAUCACUACCUCAGAUUCCUCCUCCGGCAUGUUUAGUUGUUCUUCCAUUUGAUUUGCUAGUCUAUCCACUUCCAGCCUCGAAUCACUCAUAUUGAUGAUAACCUUCCACCUUCCUUUUUUAUUUCUCCAGAGAAUACUUAUUUGAAAUGAGGGUAAGGACUCUGAUAUUUUGUUUUUGGGAAGUUUAAAGUUUAUCCAGUGACUGACUUUUCUUUUGUUUUUUUCAAUUGAAUUAUUUUUGCUUUUUGGGUUUUCUGGGAACUUGAUAUUUUAUUGGCUGGCAGAUGGUAUUUGGGAUGUUGGGUUCUGCAUUUGUUGAUAUGACUCUCCACUUUAUUGAAUUUACAAGCACUAUGUGUCUGUACUUGAAUGUAGGGGGCAUGUCCUACUAUGGAUAGAUUGUUUAGGGGGUGUGUGUUGUUGCCUUUGUGACCGUUAUCUCUAAAAGCAUGGUCUGAGAUGGCUAGCUGUUCCAGGAUAUGUUGGUGGAAAGAAAUUUAUGGUUUGGAAAUUUAAUGCAACCACUUUCAUUUUGCACAAUUCCCCUCCUCCUUUUAUACGUUUGUGUAGCUCUGUCGUUCUUCUACCACUUCUUUUAUCUCUCUCUUGAAAGGAAUUUUCAUCUUUGAAACUUUGAUCCACCUUAGAAUUCCUUUUGAGAUGGCUCGGUUCAUUCAUGGAGUACUUGUAACUAAUCAGAUGAGAGUAGAUUUCCUCGUUGAUAGGGAGCAUUUUUAUCUUGAUAAUCCUGCUACAUUGCACGUUCAUCCCCUCGACGUAACCCCUGCACAUGCUGCCUAUUUGAAUGCCCUUCAUGAUGUGCAUCAACUUUAUGGUCGUUUUUUCCGAUGAUGAAGAGAACGAUUAUUAUCCAGAGGUCGAUGAAGCUGAGGUUGUGGUUCCGUCUCCUCCUGAGGUUAUGAAUACUGCAACUCUCGCUCCCGUCGCUUCCGAAUCUUCUUCUGAGGCAAUUGUCCAACUUGGUGAGCAUGAAAAAGACUCCGGCAUUGCUAAUGCUAUAAGCGAUACUGAGGGGCCAUGUCAGGCAAGCCAAUCUUUCUCUGUAGAUCAUACUACUGCCUUUAAUGGCCAUAUUCUCUCUGUGGUAUGUGAAAGGGAGGUUGUUGUUUGUACUCAUGUUGCUAAUGAUGUUGUUUCCGGCGAUGCACGAGCUUUUGAAUCUAAUCCAGAGCAACAGGAAGUUGAUGUAGUAGUGAUUUCUUCUAGUGAAGAUGAAGCUUGAUAUUUCUAGAUGUAUUAUCUCACUUUCUUUGUUAGCUUUUUUGUACCUUCCCGGAACUACUGUUGUUGUUUGAUCUUUUUGCUUUCUUUUUUUUUCCUCUUUUUUCUAUCCUCAUCUCUGAUGUAACACAACUUAAAACAGAUGAGGUUUUCCACCGGAUUAACUCUGAACUUUCAAAAAAGGGUAGGCGAUACUUAUCGCUAAAGAUUCAAAGAUUCAAAACCCCUUA